GUGCCAGUCUGCUUCCGCAAAGAACAAGAGUUUCGGUGGCACAUUAAAGAAAUAUGAAUUUAUUUUGGUCAUUUAUACCAAAAACAAAAGCCAAUGUGGUGUAGUGGUUAGAGUGUCAGACUAGGAACUGGGAGACCAAGGUUUGAAUCUGCAUUUGGCAAUGAAGUUCACUGGGUGACCUUGGGCUGUCACUUGCUCUCAGCCUAGACUACCCCACAGGGUUGUUGUGGGGAUUAAAUGGGGGGGGAUCAUGUAACUCCAUGACAAAAAGGUGAGACAGAAAUGAAAUAAACUACUAUGCAGCCAGUCUUUCAAACAAGACUGGGAGCUGCAGUGAGGAUGGAGAAAAUAGAGGCUAAGAAGUUGGCAAUGCCCCCUCACAAGGGACAGGACCAAACCCAUACCUCCCCCCCCCCCAGGCAAUCUAUUACAGCUGCAGGUCUUGAGCCCUGCUUGUUUCCACGAGUUAGGGAGAGGGAAGGAGACACAGAAAUGGUUAUGGCAACCUGGGUAACAUCAUAAUCACUGAUGGAACAACAAAUAUGUCUUAGGCUGAAGCUCUCUGAAAGACUUCACAAUGAACCUCUCCUGGUUCUGAGAUUUUAUGGGGGGGGGGGCGGUUCUUCUUGGGAACUGACUGCUGCUAAUGAAAGGGUUGGUCCAUGCUGCUGCUGCUUCUUGCUGUGAUUAUCUGCAGGGUUUCAGUAGGUAUUUUGUAUUCAUACUUAGCUUAAUUCUCUCAAUGUUUAACUGUUUUUUUAAUUAUUGCUGUCUCCCUCCUAUGUUUCUAGCUGUUCUUAGUAUUAUUUGCAAGCCGUGUUGGGUCCCACUCUGGGAAUACAACCCCGGCGGGUGGCGGCUGCAGAGUUCCUUCCCAAGCCCUUCCGCCCCCGCCUCCCCUCGCCCCCCGUCUCCAUCCCGCGCUGCUACGGGAGCCAGAGCAGGAGACCCCCCCGCGCAGGAAGGGUAUCUGGCGAAGGGCGAGUCGAGCCUCUUCCUCUUCCCGGCCGCCGCCUCGCGCUGCUUGGCCCGCAUCAGCCGCCGCAGCUCCUCCUGCCCCACCGAGGCCGCCGCCGCCGGCCGCCCCCGAGGCCUCCCGGCCGCCGGACCCGAAGCCGCCAUAGCCGCCGCCGCGGAGGAAGCGGGCGCGCCGGAAAGCGCGUCAUCCAGCCUCGCUCGUCGCGAAGACCUUGCGUCACUCUCUCCCCGCCAAGGAGGCCGGAAGAAGCGGAGCAGCCGGUUGAGUGACUGGAGGCGGGACUUCCUUCUUCCUUCGGACGCCCUUUUUGAGACGCUCCCCGGAAAUAGUGUUAGAGAGAAGUCUUGGGCGUGGGAGAAGGUUCUCUUGCUAAUGAUACUGUUUGAAAUGCACAUUUUGUAUUUGGCUUCCUUUAGCGGUGUUUCUCUUUGAAUCAUUUUUUGGUUAGCUUAGCUGCGUUGAAUGUGCAUUCUGUGGGUGUCCUUUGUACAGU